CGACCCCUUAAGCCCCUGUUGCUUAGCGUUGGGAGCCUGCGGUCCUCCGGGGCGCAUCUCCUCAAAAUGAGUGGCGGAGUCGCGGCGUGCUCUGAGCGUAGUAGAUGUCUUCUCGCUUUGGUAGCGCCCGCGGCAGCUAGCCGUUAACACACGAUAGGGGCUUACCCCCCUAUCUCUUAGU
rnacentral:misc_RNA from 1 species